AUAAUGGGUCAGCGACUUAUAUUCUGUAGCAAGGUUAACCGAAUAGGGGAGCCGAAGGGAAACCGAGUCUUAACUGGGCGUUAAGUUGCAGGGUAUAGACCCGAAACCCGGUGAUCUAGCCAUGGGCAGGUUGAAGGUUGGGUAACACUAACUGGAGGACCGAACCGACUAAUGUUGAAAAAUUAGCGGAUGACUUGUGGCUGGGGGUGAAAGGCCAAUCAAACCGGGAGAUAGCUGGUUCUCCCCGAAAGCUAUUUAGGUAGCGCCUCGUGAAUUCAUCUCCGGGGGUAGAGCACUGUUUCGGCAAGGGGGUCAUCCCGACUUACCAACCCGAUGCAAACUGCGAAUACCGGAGAAUGUUAUCACGGGAGACACACGGCGGGUGCUAACGUCCGUCGUGAAGAGGGAAACAACCCAGACCGCCAGCUAAGGUCCCAAAGUCAUGGUUAAGUGGGAAACGAUGUGGGAAGGCCCAGACAGCCAGGAUGUUGGCUUAGAAGCAGCCAUCAUUUAAAGAAAGCGUAAUAGCUCACUGGUCGAGUCGGCCUGCGCGGAAGAUGUAACGGGGCUAAACCAUGCACCGAAGCUGCGGCAGCGACGCUUAUGCGUUGUUGGGUAGGGGAGCGUUCUGUAAGCCUGCGAAGGUGUACUGUGAGGUAUGCUGGAGGUAUCAG
rnacentral:rRNA from 1 species